GGGUGCGAUCAUACCAACGUUGGUGCACCGGAUCCCAUCAGAACUCCACAGUUAAGCGCGCUUGGAUCAGAGUAGUAUUAGGAUGGGUGACCUCUUGAGAAGUCUCGGUGUUGCACCCU